GCGCAUGCGUCUUCUGUUUCUCCUCUCGAUUCCAGUAGGUGGGGUCUCAGCUCACUCGGUUCUCCUGCUGCACGUUCGCUCUGUGCCUACCUUGAGGCGGAACGGCAAAUCCUCUUGCCCACAGCACCGCGGCAGGGAGCACCAGAGGACAGACUUGAACUCAGGGCCGUCCGGCUCCCAACCUCCCAACCAAGGCAGCCCUGAUGGACUGAAAUGGGCAGAAAGGUCUUUGUAGAGCUCCCAGCUCUCCGGGGAUGCCGUACGGUGGCAGCUGUUGUCCUGUGUCGCAGUGACACCUGCUACAAUUCAGAAAGCCUGGGCUCAGCCCCUGAGCUGCCAGUAGAGAGAAGGGUGGGGGCAGGUGUCAUUGCUUGCUCUGGACUGGGGCUCGCUGCAGGGGAGCAGAAGCCUGCCUCCCAGUGCCCCCAGCACAGCUCGCACCUGGUGUGGAUGACAGCAACACCUGCAGCGCAGCCUGAACACCUCCGGCUGUCUGCCGACCUGUGCUCCAGUCACUUUCUGUCCCCUAACGGGCAGCCAGCCCAAAAGUGGAACCACCCUGCUCUCCAUUUAACAGCUGAAGGAACUGGGACACUGAGAGGUUUAGUAAGCUGUCCAAGGUCACAGAGCAGAGAAAGAGCAGUCAAGGCUUAGGUCCCGACUCCAUCCUUGAACAUCGGGGCUCUAAGAUGUUAAGGGUAGACACCUGCUUAAGAGGAAGAGGUCUCUAGAUGAAGCACUUAGACUGUCCCCACUCUUCCUGGAAUCCAGUCCGGCUCUGCCACUUCCUGCCUGUGUGACUUUGGGCAACUUGUUCAAGCUCACUGCACAUUUCAGUUCUCUGUGGAGGACAUGGGAGUGAAAACCAAGUACCUACCUUCUGGGCUCCUGUGGCACCUCAGAUGUAAAGUAGCCUGGCUUCGAGUAGGCCCAGUGAAAAGCCCUUGAUGCUGGGAUGUAAGCCUGGGAAAGGCUUUUGCAGAAUGAUGGCCGGCCCUGUGGAAGUCUCUUCAUCUCUCUGCAUCCGGUACUUGUGCUCUGUGGGGGAGAAAAUCUCCAGCGAAUCAAAUCUGUGGUUCCACAGCUCUUUGCACCCGUGAGUGCUCAAGAAAUCGUGUUUGGAAUGAAUAAUGAAUGAAUUAACGAAUGAACGAAUGUCCAGCCCAGCUCUCACCACAGCUGUGCAGAAACCGAAGUCCCUGGGACCGCCCAGCUCUCUCAAGCCUGUUGAUUAACCAUCACCCCCACUAUGCUCCUGCCUCCCCCAUGGUCUCAUCCUCCCCACCGUCGGCCCUGGCACAUGGGGGCCCCUGCAGAGUUUGCUCCCUUUCAUGGGGUCAUUCUCUUCUUUUCUGGCAGAGAACACAGGGUGUCUAAGCUGGGGGAUGCCUGACGAGGAGGGGCUCAGAACCCCCAUGCUCCCCACCUCUCCCGCCCCCCACCUUGUGGUUUGCUUGCAGAGGAAGCAGCAGCUGGGCCCAAACACGAGGCUUAGAGAUGUGCUUACUGGGGCCGUGUGG